rnacentral:rRNA from 1 species
UACGGGGGGGGCAAGCGUUGUUCGGAAUUACUGGGCGUAAAGGGCUCGUAGGCGGCCAACUAAGUCAGACGUGAAAUCCCUCGGCUUAACCGGGGAACUGCGUCUGAUACUGGAUGGCUUGAGUUCGGGAGAGGGAUGCGGAAUUCCAGGUGUAGCGGUGAAAUGCGUAGAUAUCUGGAGGAACACCGGUGGCGAAGGCGACUCUUUGGCCUGUAACUGACGCUGAGGCGCGAAAGCGUGGGGAGCAAACAGG